rnacentral:rRNA from 1 species
AUUGAACGCUGGCGGCAGGCUUAACACAUGCAAGUCGAGCGGGGAAACGUAGCUUGCUCCCUGACCUAGCGGCGGACGGGUGAGUAAUGCUUGGGAAUCUGCCUAUUCGCUGGGGAGGACAUCACGAAAGGGAUGCUAAUACAGCAUACCUUAUACGGGGGAAACCCGGGGUCCUUCGGGCAUUGCGCCAAUAGCUGAGCCUAGGUCGGAUUAGCUAGUUGGUGGGGUAAAGGCCUACCAAGGCGACGAUCUGUAGCGGGUCUGAGAGGAUGAUCCGCCACACUGGGACUGAGACACGGCCCAGACUCCUACGGGAGGCAGCAGUAGGGAAUAUUGGACAAUGGGGGGAACCCUGAUCCAGCCAUGCUGCGUGUGUGAAGAAGGCCUUUUGGUUGUAAAGCACUUUAAGCGAGGAGGAGGCUACCGAGAUUAAUACUCUUGGAUAGUGGACGGUACUCGCAGAAUAAGCACCGGCUAACUCUGUG